UACGUAGGGUGCAAGCGUUGUCCGGAAUUAUUGGGCGUAAAGAGCUCGUAGGCGGUCUGUCGCGUCGGCUGUGAAAUCCCGGGGCUCAACCCCGGGCCUGCAGUCGAUACGGGCAGACUAGAGUGCGGUAGGGGAGACUGGAAUUCCUGGUGUAGCGGUGAAAUGCGCAGAUAUCAGGAGGAACACCGGUGGCGAAGGCGGGUCUCUGGGCCGUAACUGACGCUGAGGAGCGAAAGCGUGGGGAGCAAGCAGG
rnacentral:rRNA from 1 species